rnacentral:misc_RNA from 1 species
CCAGUCACCACCACCAUUCUCCAUCCCAUCUCUGAUCUCUCCCUCUCAAUUGUGAUCCCUCCCUCCCUCUCAAUAUUGAUGACCACCGCCUCUUGGCCACGUCGCGCCUGCCCAUGUCAGCCACCACGCGCCAGCCUUUCUCUGGUGAGCCCAAGUCGCAGAUGAGUUCUCGCAGUCGCAACCUCCACAAUCUUCACAAUAUCGACAAGGCAGCCUCCACC